GAUGAACGCUGGCGGCGUGCCUAAUACAUGCAAGUCGAGCGAACAGAUGAGGAGCUUGCUCCUCUGACGUUAGCGGCGGACGGGUGAGUAACACGUGGAUAACCUACCUAUAAGACUGGGAUAACUUCGGGAAACCGGAGCUAAUACCGGAUAAUAUAUUGAACCGCAUGGUUCAAUAGUGAAAGACGGUUUUGCUGUCACUUAUAGAUGGAUCCGCGCCGCAUUAGCUAGUUGGUAAGGUAACGGCUUACCAAGGCAACGAUGCGUAGCCGACCUGAGAGGGUGGUCGGCCACACUGGAACUGAGACACGGUCCAGACUCCUGCGGGAGGCAGCAGUAGGGAAUCUUCCGCAAAGGGCGAAAGCCUGACGGAGCAACGCCGCGUGAGUGAUGAAGGUCUUCGGAUCGUAAAACUCUGUUAUUAGGGAAGAACAAAUGUGUAAGUAACUAUGCACGUCUUGACGGUACCUAAUCAGAAAGCCACGGCUAACUACGUG
rnacentral:rRNA from 1 species